GGAAAAAGCAAAAAGGGCCAAUCCUACAAUGUAACUGUGAGCAGCACUCCUUGUGUCCCUGCUCUGUCAAUCACACAUUGCUUUUUCUUCCAGGUAACUUCAGUAUAAAGAGACUAUUUCUAUUUUGGAGAUUGUCUUUUAUUGUCUUUCGUUAAUUCCUAAUGAUACAUAGAUAUACACACAUAUACACAUUAAUAGAUAUGCAUAUGUAUAUAAUACUCAUAUAUACAUAGUCUUCAGAUUUUAAGGCUAUUGCAGAGGGCAGAGCUUGGCCCACAGCCCAGAGGAGGGCAUAUUGGCCUUUCCAGCUGAUAACCAGCAGCAGCGUCAAACCUGCACUGCCCACGCACUCCCUGCACAGAUAGCUGUGCCGUUUCCAGGCCUCAUUCACCUGCCGACCCUGCCCAAAGCAGAGCGUUUGGCAUCAUGUUGCUGGGUGUGGCGAUGUGUUGCUGAAAGUGCGCAGGUUGCCCAUGGGCAGAGGGACAGGACUGGGGCAGAAGGCCACAGCAGCACCAUCCUGACUUGCAUAGAACUGGACACAUCCUCAGCAGACAGUCUGCCCAGGUCCAGAAACACCACCAGGCCUGAAGCAGCCUUUACCACAUCACAGAUGAAUUUAGGGGAGGAGUGGCCUCUGAGGAGGGAGAAGGAAAAUAGGAAGUUACUUACUUUUUUGCCACCUUCUCAUGUCUAGUCUAGUUCCAGACAAUGACAAGUAUGAUAAGACAUAGCACAGAAUAAGCCUUUUCUUUACCCUUCCUAUGAUUUUGAUGUGCCAAAUCGCUCUCAGCUACAAUACCCAAGAAACCUACAGUUUACACAUAGCAUCGGCCCUCUCAGUUUCUACUCUGAGCCUGCCCAUACAUCUCAGCCUUGACUUGCAGAGUGAAAGGAAGUUCAGCCUCCACAAUUCCCUCCACCAUUUUCUUUGCUAAGCUCAUUAGUGCUUCAUAAGACUGGAGUGAGACCACUAAGUCAUUUCCCACGGACUGCUUAGCUGCGAUCAGAACAGCAACAAUGACUGAUUUGGGCUGGAGUCGAACCGAAGAGCCCAUUCCUUCACACAUUGUCCAAUCCAUCUGCUGAAAAUUAUUCCACAUUGCACACACACAGGCAGAAAUCCUGCUUUAAAACAUAUAUUAUGUUCCAUUUAUGUGAUUUGCCUAUGUGUUCCCAGGCUUUCCAAGAUUUUAAUUUUCCCCCUGGUUAUCUGAAUUCCAGAUUUUGUGGAAUAAAUCCCAGUGAAGUGUUGAUUCA
rnacentral:lncRNA from 1 species